UACGAAGGGGGCUGGCGUUGCUCGGAAUCACUGGGCGUAAAGCGCACGUAGGCGGAUUGUUAAGUCAGGGGUGAAAUCCUGGAGCUCAACUCCAGAACUGCCUUUGAUACUGGCGAUCUCGAGUCCGGGAGAGGUGAGUGGAACUGCGAGUGUAGAGGUGAAAUUCGUAGAUAUUGGGAAGAACACCAGUGGCGAAGGCGGCUCACUGGCCCGUAACUGACGCUGAGGUGCGAAAGCGUGGGGAGCAAACAGG
rnacentral:rRNA from 1 species